rnacentral:rRNA from 1 species
CAGUCGCCGCGGGAAUACAGAGGGUGCGAGCGUUAAUCGGAUUUACUGGACGUAAAGCGUGUGUAGGUUGUUGUUCAAGUCAGUUGUGAAAUCCCUGGGCUCAACCUGGGAACUGCUUCUGAGACUGAACGACUAGAGUACGGUAGAGGGUGGUGGAAUUUCCGGUGUAGCGGUGAAAUGCGUAGAUAUCGGAAGGAACAUCAAUGGCGAAGGCAGCCACCUGGGCCUGUACUGACACUGAGACACGAAAGCGUGGGGAUCAAACAGGAUUAGAUACCCCCGUAGUCCCUGUCUCUUAUAC